rnacentral:lncRNA from 1 species
UUUCCUGAAUCAACUGUCUGGUAAUAGGUGGAGGUUGCUAUUAAGCUGUCAAAGAUGCAGGAAUUCACUGGCCGUUCUGCCCCAACUGUAAUAACAUAAAUACAUAUUGCCGCAUAUAAUCCUUUCUGUACUUUAGAAAUAGUGGUCCUAGUGUCCUCAUUCAAGGGCUGCUGGAAAAUGCACCAUAUUCAAUAGUCUUAAAAAAAAGAUGCAAUGUACCAGUUUUUUGUGUUCUGUAGUGAGUUAUUUUCAGAAUAGACAAGCAGCGAAUUUAUCUUAAUUUUCGAUGAUAAUGGUUCAAGUAAAUCUCAACAAUCAGUACGGGUUUUCAUAUUUUUCACUUCAUUAAAUGUUUCUUCUAUCGAAAUGAUGAACUCCUUUCUUGUUAGAUUGAAGUUUUUUAAGCUUUACUAAACAUGGUUUAGUCGGUCCGGCUUGGCACUGGAUUUUGCUUAUUGAUGGUUCGAUAUAAAUUUCACUUUAAAAGCACCGCACUAACUGUGCUGCUUUACUAAAUCUAAAUCAAAUCAAACCAUACGUAAAAUCAGGUCGUUUGUUUCUUUGUGUGUUGGUUUGUCAUAAUUCUGGCUGUUUGGUUUAUUACUUUUUUUUCCAGUCACACGAGACGUAAAUUCAAUCAAUUCAAUCUGCUAGAGAAACAUAUGCAGAUAGUAGGUCUAAUAUAAACAAAUUGCACAUCACUUUGUAAAACUAUGACAAUAUAUAAUUGUUAAACUAAAGCGUAAACGCAAGGAAAGUAACAAUCAAUAAUUGUUUGACCCCAAAAUCUUGUAACUAAAAAAUAAUCAAUAGUUUUUUGACCCCAAAAUCUAGUAAUUCCCUUGCAGGUUAUUCUCAUAUAUAAUUUUCUAAUAGAUCUUGUGAAUUUUCUGUAACGACAUGACUGGUCGUUUUGAGCUUUAGCGCGUCGUUCGGCGAUUUGAGGCUUCGAGUAGCUUCAAUUCAUUUUUAUAACUUAUACACAUAGUCGGAAUUGAAUUUCAGGAAGUUCGGAGUUGAUUCGGAUGUAAAAUUCUCAAUUCGGAGGAUUUAAGUUGGAAGAGUUGACCAAGGUUUGACUUUUGAGUAAACGACCUCGAAUUAGGAUUUGAAGGUUCCAAUAAGUUCGUAUAGCGAUUUCGGACUUGGGUGUAUGUUCGAGUUGAGUAUAGGGUGGACCGGGAGCAUUUCAGCGUUUAUUGUGGAAAGUUGGCAUUUUGAAGGUUUUAGAAUUUCUCAAGUUUGGUUUGAAGGAGGCUUUGGUGUUAUCGAUGUCCGUUUGGGGUUCCGAGCCUUGGAAUAGGUUCGUAUCCUGAUUUGUGACUUGCACGUAAAUUUUGGUGUCAUUCCAGAAUGUUUAAGUGUAAUUCGGACGCGUUCGUCGAAGUUUGAAUGUUUGAAAGUUGAAAGAACGAUUUUGAUCGUCGAUUCGUGAUUUUGAUGUUAUUUACAGCGUUUCGAGCCUUUGAAUAAGUUUGGAUAAGGUAUUUGGACUUGCUGGUAUGAAUGGGCGGGGUCCGGGGGGCCUCGGGUGGGUUUCGAAAUGGUUGUCGGACAAAUUCCCCUUGUUUUAUCACUGCUGGUUUUUGGUGUGUUGGGUGUGCAUCGCGAUCACGAGAGGAUGAUCACGAUCGCGAAAGGCUAACUGGACUGGUGGCAUUUUUGCUUAUCGCGAUCGCAUAAAGGCAGUCGCGAUCACAGAGUUGGAGCAGGUUGUUCUUCGCGUUCGCGUGGGAGAAGUUGCCGAUGGGUUAUUGAGGCUGGCCUGUUUGGGGGUAGUUGUUCUAUGUGAUCGCGGAUGUUUUCACGUGAUCGCGGAAGAGGAAUUCUGCUGAGGCUAUGUUUGGCCUUCGCGUUCGCGUUAAUGGGCUCUCGUUCGCGGAGGCCUGGGCAGGCUAUGAUUCGCGAUCGCGAGAAGGACCUCGCGUUCACGUAAGAGUAAUUUCAUGGGGGAUGCUGGAUGGCCUUCGCGAUCGCGAUCGCGAGGAGUUUUCCGCGAUCGCGAAGAAGGGUUGCUAGGCAGAACACUUCUUAAAAAAUCAGGGGUUUGACUCAUUUUCAACUCAUUUCUUCCUUGGGAGCCGACUUUGGGGCGAUUUUGGAGCGCCAUUUUCAUUAUCAUUUUUGAGGUAAGUGAUUUCUUCACCUUGUGGGUUAAAUACAUGGUUUAUAUGUGGAUUUAACAUGAAAAUUUAUGGAAAUUGUGGGAUUUUAGGAGAAAACCUAGAAUUUGGUAUUUUUGGAUUUUGACCACGAAAUUAGACAUAAAAUUGGGAAUAAAUUAUAUAUUUGAGUUCGUGGUGUUACGAGUAAUGUUUAUCUUCAAAAAUUUUCGGAAUCUAGACACGUGAGCCCGAGGGUUGACUUUGUUGACUUUUCAAGCUCAGUUGAGGAUUGUUAUAAAUUGUUAACUUAUAAGCAUUGAAGUAUAUUUUGAUUGAUUUGCACGUUGUUUGACUAGUUUCGGAUCGAUGAGCAUUGGUUAAGGUGUUAGAGGGGUGUAAGUGUAAAGCCCCGUAAAAUUUCACCUAAAACCCGGGGCAUCGUGGUACAAACAUUUUGGGUUGAAUAGUGCGUUGGGGAGUUGAAGAAAAAUUAUUGCAGAAUAGGGCAUUUCUACGGUCCAUUAUGCGACCGCAGAUCUACUCCGCAGACCGCAGAUCUGCCGGGGAGUGAAGCAGAGAAAUGGCCAAUUUUGGAAAUCGUUUUGCGGUCAACUAUGCGACCGUAUAAUCGUUUCGCGGGCCGCACUACCGGCGCAGAGUUGGCAUGAAAAAAAAAUCGGAGGGUGAUUCUGCGGUCCAUUUGUGGCCGCAGAACUGGUAUGCGGACCGCAGACCUGACCGCAGACUGAUCCAGAGUAGCCUAGUUUUUGGCAUCACUUUCGCGGCCCAUUUUGCGGGCCGCAUAUUUGUUCUGCGGUCCACUCUGCAACCGCAAAACUGAGUUCGGAGGGUCCAUUUUCUGAUUUUUAAAACCCGACCCCAUUUGAUUAAAAGCCAUUGGGUAUCGUUUAGAAGGCAAAAAUCUACAAUUUCAGAGUGAGGGGAGUGCUUUAGAGAGAGAGAGAGAGAGGAGGAAGCCCCAAGUACUUUGUUCAUCAACCCUUGCUCAAGCUUUGAAAUUCAAAAAGGAAAACUCACAAGAUCUUCACCCAAGAGGUAAGAUCUACUCCCUAGCCGUCAAUUUCAGGAUUGGACUGAAAGUAGGUAAUGCGAAGUGUGAUUCUUGAGUGUUAUUUAUGCAUGCAUGUACCAUCAAGGUUAUUGAGCCCAAAUGGGUAAACAUUAGAUUGUGGGAUGAAGGAAUCCACCAUAGGAGAACCUUGAAACCUUAAUGCACACCUAGUGCUUGAUAAAAUGCUCAAAUGAGCUGAAACCCUGAGUAUCUUCCUAAUUAUGGUUCAAAUUUGUCAUGUUUCUAAUAGAUUGAAAUCGCUAGGAUUUCUGGAACAUUGUAGUAAUUUAAGGAAGCUCAAGCGAGGUAUGUUGGAUAAACUCCUCUUGUAGAGUCGAUUUCCAUGAUGUCCUCAUAAGUUGCUAUUAUGAUUGACUCAAUUUCUUAUUUCUCAUGUUCCGAGUCCUUCCUAAUAGAUUUGACUAUUCUAAAAUAAGUGUUGUGUUGAAAGAUGUAUGUACUCAAAAUAUGUUCCAAAUGUUUCUAUCAUAUCAUGAUUCCCUCCGAGAAUGUAAUCUAGUAUGAUCAAUGAACCAAAGGUAGUGUGAUUUAAAAAUCAUGUUUCAAUUGCAAGUUAGUAUGCCUAAUUGUCGAAGAGAAACUCAAUGUGUUUAAGACUCUUGUUUGCUCAUAUGUAUACUUCAAGUUUUGAUUUGAAAUUCUCUUAUUGAUGAUAAUCCAUGGUAACACUUGAAAGUUAUAGGGGUGAGUAUGAAAUAUGAAAUACGGCCGACGUGUCGAGAAUGAUAUUACAAUUGUGGCCACUAGUGACAAUAAAAUGGAAAGAUGUGUGAAAGAUUAUGAAAUGAGUUGUAAAUCCUUUAAAUAAUAAAUGCUUUGGGAGUAUCGUUUAGUCACCGAGGAAGGGUAGAUCGAAAUAACCUAAUCCUAAAACUACACGUGUCGGUGUAGGAGUAAUUGAAGGGUAAAUCCCCGUGUUGAUGGAUGAGAUUGUUUCCCCUAAUAUGGGAUUAGAUUGAUGUGUUGAGAUAUUUCCCCUUAAAUGGGAUGAGAUUAUUGCUAGCGAGAUGUGAUGUGAUGUCGACCCACACGAUAUUGUGGUGAGACAGCUUAGCCGAUCGGGCUGAGAUCGGACGCCAUGCCGCGCACAUAGUGGUGUUGUGAUUGGAUGUCUCGGGGUGAGAUGGCUUAGCUGGUCGGACUGAGAUCGGACUCCGUGCUAAAACACGAUAGUAUAUCGAUGCUAAAGAUCUCCCAGCUUAAAUUUCCGAAACCUACUUGAAAUUUAUGUUUCCCCUAAUGUGGCACUUUGAUACCGUUUGAGUCCCUUAUUGAUAUCAUGUUUUAUUCUCCAUUUACUGUUACUCGUUCUAUUGAGAGGGUGUUUAGUUUUACAUACUAGUAUUAUUCCAUAUGUACUAACGUCCCCUUUGUUGGGGGCACUGCAUCUUUAAUGGAUGCAGGUGGUUCCACAGCAGGCGGUAUUGAUCAGUGAUAGCAGUACAGCCUCUCCUCAGCUGACUUGGUGAGCCCCACUUCAUUAUGGGGUCUUAUAUCUCCUGUCCUUUAUGUAUAUUGUUUUGAGGUAUAGCCGGAGCCUUGCUACGGCACCAUCAUGCUACUCUUUUGUAUCCAUUAGAAGCUCCGUAGACAUAGCGUGGGUGGUACCUUUGUUUUGGGAAAGUCAAACUAAAGGCGUUGUAUUUGUAUCAUAUGUUUUCACUUUCAGACUAUGAAUGUGUAAUGUAAUAUUUCGAAACAUCUUGAAUGAAGUUCUAACGGUAAUGAAAUUUAGACUGUUCAUGUAACCUUCUCAUUGUUUAGUUAAUGAUAUAUACCUUCUCCUUGUUCACGGGUGAGUUUAAGUAGAAGGCAUUGUAUAGGCUUGCUCGACCGAGUUAUCUCGGUUUGGCGCCGGUCGCGCUCCUUGAGGUCAGGGCAUGACAAUAAGUCUUCUGUUUAACCUUGUGAGGGGGAAAGCUACCUCGUAGGUGUAUAUUUGCUAUGUGCUACUUAUUGUGAGGUCCACGCACGCACGAGGUAACAAGAGUCCGAAUAUUGCUAAUAUCAUGUAAUGUCCGGGUAGAUUUAGGACUUUAUCAUGCGAUAUUUGUAUUAUCUGAAUUCAACUUGUUAGUUUAAUUACCUAAGACUGAUAAAUGAAAUGUGAUUAGAGAUCAUGUUAGAUCAAAUCUCAUUACCUUGAGUUGUUGGCAAGAUAUUCGAAAAUUGGUAAAAGUCAUGAUUACUUUAAGUUCCCAUUUUUAUAUUGUAAACACGUAACUCGUAAGUCGAUAAGUUUCUUCACUUCUAGGAGAUCGGGCUGAACGCCUCAGAAAUAUAUGUAUAUAUGAGAUGCAUCUAUGGAUCGGGACGUACAACCUCGGUAGUGUAUGUACACGACUAUAUGGAUCGGGCCGAACGACCUCGGCAUAAUUCGUGCGUAAAAUCGCUAGGAGUCCGAAUACCCACGAGAUUACCCUCCUGAUUGGGACUUGGAAAUUACACGAUAUUCCCUUGUGAUCGGAGAUCAGAUAUUUAUUUGAUGAUUAUUAUUUGUUGAGAUGGCAUGUGCCAUGUGGAAAUUUUAAAAUGAUAUUUCGUUAAAGGCUCACGUUGAUUACUGUUUCUUAUUCUAUUGAUCCUGUUGUAUUUCAUGCCUGCUUAUGGUUCCUGCAUCUUAUUUAUUAGACCACUAGUAAGUGUCGAUGUCGACCCCUCGUCACUAAUUAUCUGGGGUUAGGCUAGAUACUUAUUGGGUACGCGUUGAUUUACGUACUCAUGCGACACUUCUACACUAAAUGUGCAGGAUCUGACAUGUUCAUUUGAUGGUCAUCUUGGCUCGUAAGCGCAACUGUUGAAGGGACUUUAUGGCGAGCUGCUUUCCAUGCUACAUGUUGCAGCCCACAGAGUCUCCAUCUUAUUUAUUUACUUUAUCCUGUCUAUUUUAUAUUUCAGACAGAUGAUGUAUUAUUAUGGCACUAUUUAGUAGACGCUCAUGUACUUGUGACACUGGGGUUUGGGAAGUUCUAGAAUUUGUUUAUGGUUUUGCUUAACAUUGACAUACUUUUACUCUAUAUUUUAUCCAAAAUGUAUGUAUCUAUGAUUUUUAACGCAUUAAUUUCUCUAUAUAAUAAGAUUCAUGAUUUUAAAAAUAAUAAAAUGAAUUAUUAAGCUGGUAGUUCACCGUUGGCUUGCCUAACGGCGACGUUGGGCGCCAUCAUGACCUAUAGUGGAUUUUUGGUCGUGACAGCUUGGUAUCAGAGCUCUAGGGUCUCACGAGUCAUGAUCAAGUCUAGUAGAGUCUUGCGGAUCGGUACAGAGACGUCUGUACUUAUCUUCGAGAGGCUACUGGGCUGUUACGAGCACUUCCUUUUUUUGAUUCCUCGUCGUGCGAUUUUGAUUCUAUUGAAGCUUAUGCCUUCAUUUCCUUCCUACUCAUUCUUAUACGAUGUUGAGGGCUUGUUAUUAAUUGAGCAUCGAGGAGUUGUAGUGGUACUGCAGAUGUGGUGUAUGAUAUUUCUCCCUGCGUAUUCGAGCGGGCUAUUAUCGUUGUCUUGUGGGAGGAUGCUCUAUCGUUUUAGCUUCGUGCUAGUGUUGCCUACGGUUUCGAGGCUAUGCACAAUGUAUUAUGAGGUUCAUGCAUUGUUAUCGCGCAAUGUUGGUGUGAAUGGUAGGGUGCCUAUUUAUGUGUGGUGUGAAACGUGGCAAGACUUGAUAAUUUUGAAUGUGAUGGAAUUCUCAUUGUGGUGUGGUGUAGUCGACCUUGUUAGAGCACAUUAAGGUUCUUCGGUGUAAUGAUCUUCUUUUAUUUGCCUACGGGGCAGAGUGUUGCGAAAUGGUACCUAAGAAGCGGCCAUCAGGGAUGGCGGUGUGUGGCAGUUUCUAGGUCAAACCAGUGUUUCUAAUGUUGAUGGCUCGAGAGAGAUGAUCUUCGAGAAGGCUUAGAAUUGGUAGCAAUUUAUUAGUUCGGGUGCUACAGAGGUGGAUUAUGAUUAGAGGCAGUAUUUGGACAGCGAAUGAUGAGGAAGGACAUGGUGGGAGGUGUCUCGCGGAAGUCGAAUUGCUAGAGGUUGAGUAGUUCGCUUCGGAAGGUGGUUAACUCAGAGUGGGAAUGUUAGCGUAUCGUAUGUAUUUCGUGGUAGUCUGUGCACAUGCUUCCAGAAAGCUUAGCGUGAUUAUGGUUAUGGUGAACAAGAGACUAAGUCUGUGUAUUUCGUUUGAGAUGGUGGCUUUGUGCUUCAGAUGUUUGAAUAUGACGGAAAGAGUUUGUUUGGGAUGUAAUAUGACUUCGAGUUUUGGAUGCAUCGCUGGACCUUCAUUUGAUGUCGAUGGGAAUAAGCGGGCGCUUUCGACUGGGGGUGAGCGUGGGCUCAGAAGGAUUAACUGGUUUCGUGAUGACUGUAAUCAUGGCAAUAUCGUUGGAGUAUGUCGAUUUAGGGUAACACAGGUGGGCUAUCUCCUAUGAGGAGUUAGGAGUUGCGUGAUUCCUAGUAAAGAUCCUCUGAAGAACUUUAUUUUCUAUCCAACAUGAAGUAUGUACUACAAUGUGAGCUGGGAUCGCUUGAAGAAGAUAGUGUAGUGGUCAGGAGGUCGAGUGUGUGUUUGGAGAUGAUAAUUUGAGUUAUGUUAUGUGAAGUUUAACAAGCGAUUGCGAGGAAUUUGGCGGAGUGGCGGUGCGAAAUCAUGGUAACCGAGGAGGAGGAGUCAUUGUGAUUUAUAGAUUUAUGUAAUUGCGGCUUAGAGCUAAGUGGGGGAGCCUACCGUCUACGAUUGGGUCACAUGGUUGUGUGCCUUGUUAGCAUCGGGUUAUUGGUACGUUGGUAGAUUUGUUAUGACUAAGGAAAGAAAACAUCAAGGGUAAUUCGGGUAAAGGACUUGAUGUAUAUGUGCUACAUUUCACCUUAUCGAUUCAUGUGCAGAUGUUGGGGAUGAUUCAGAAUUUAUGCUUCUUGUGGAUGUGAUGUGCAAGGAAAAAGAAUUCAUCCGGUUGCUUCUUUGGAAGUGUUCAUGUGCUAUAGCACUAGUGUUUAUUUAUAUAUUUGGGACAUGUCAGAGUGGGUGACUUUUGAUAAUGGUUCUAGUGGGUUCAAGAACUAAAGUGCGGUGUCUAAGGAUUUUGGGUCCAUUGUGUGGUUAAGGAUUGAGUUUUGCAGUGCAUUAUGAAAGGGACUUGGAGUGUUUCUAUGUUAGCACCGGGGGUAUGUGGUGCGACGUUAGAGAGAUGAAAGGAAACAACUUCGGAUUCGUAGAAGACCUUUCAGAAUGGGUACAUCAGUUGGAGAUACUAUUGAGUGCAUGAGGAGGGUAUGAGAUGGCUGAUGGGUGUUGGGGCGAUGUGGUCUCGGGAUUUGGGGUCACUCGGGAUGAGUGUUGUUUGAGGUCCGUUAUGUGUUUGAAUAGAACUAUUAUUUCAAGGCAAGUCAAGAGUAAAUUGGAAGAAGUCAAAUCAGCUAGUAAUGGCUUGAAUCAGCAUGGUUAUGGAAUUGAUCAGUUCCUUCGGUGUGUUAAGCUAUAUAGGUGAUUUGGGGCUAUACGUGCGGGCUUGACAGCCACCGUAAUUUGGUUUAUUUGGAGGUAUUUGAUUCUGAUGGCCUUGUUAUAUGUAAAUAGAUCCCGUAAGAGUUAUAGCGGUUUAGACUACGACUUGAGGUUUGCAUUUUCUGUGGUUAUGGGAAUUCGAUUGCGUGUUGCAAUUGUUCUUCUGAAAUAAGUUGGGUGAAAGGGGUCCUAGCCAAUGAGGUGUUUGUUCUAUUGUUGGUUCAGGGGUUAUGAUGAAAUUCUUGUAUUCUUGCGUAGCGACAUGAUAGGUGCAGUGAGCGGUUUGGAAAUUGGAAGUUGAGGAUCAAGGUUGCGGUUCGGUGUUGAUAAGAAUGUCACGAGCUCGGAGGAGCGGGGGAGGAUUUUAGAUGUUCAGAGUAUGCUGGAACUAUUUUCGGGCAGCUUGAGGGUGGUCUGUUUUGUGGUUGAAGUGUUGGGUAUUGAAAUGCGGAUGCUUGACUAGUACCAUAGAAAUAAUAUGAUCGAUGGCUAUGGAUGUUCAGAUUUUACUACCUGGCGUGGAAGGUUGUGGGAGUAUAUUCCACGGGAAGAUCGUAUAAGUGUGACAUGUUAGUUAUUUGAUUGUUAGAGAUUGAAACCUAGUAUGGAGAUUCUGGUGCUGUCGCUAAUGGGAGAGUUUAUGCCUGAAAGACGCUCUAUUCCUCUGGUUGUGGAAUAUGGAAGUUUGUUCCGGAUUGGACGGGUGGUUGUGUGUGUCAUGAAUAAGGUCAUUAUGGAUCCUUGAAAGGUCAUUGUCCCAGUAUGAGAUGAUCAGAAUUGGCUUGAGGUCUGUUGGUAGGUCUAAUGUGAAUGUGUGCUCUACAUCAGGUCGGAUGUGUUCAUUCAGCAUAGCAUUGCUUAUGGAGGAGUCUUCGGGCGUUGGGUGUUAUUCCUGUCGUCAGCUAUUCUAUGUAGUACUCUAUUAUGCCAUAUGGGCUGUGAGACGGCUUGAUUAUUCGCACAUGUGUUGUGUUCCCAUGUAGCUUUUGGGGUUAUAUGAGAAACAUGGUUCUCGAGAUGCAGGUCAUUUAUUGCACCUUAGUCGUGCUCGAGUUUUGUAGCGCAUGGCGCUAUCCGUCUCCCCAAGGAGGUAUUUAUGCACUUGACGUGCUUGUGGUCGAUAUUCGAGCAUUUCGUGGGUUUGAGCAUUAUUGCUUGAUGGGUAUAUCCCUAUUGAUUGUCAUGUGUGGAUCGGGUGGCACGCCGCCACGAGUAUCAUAUUUGGAUCGGGUUGCACGCCGCAACGGUAUUAUGUGUGGAUUGGGUUGCAGGCCGCAACAGUGAGAUGUUGAGUACGGUUCCUUAUACUUAUUUUGUGUGCCUUGUUUCUCAUCUCUGAAAUAGGUUCAUAACAUCUGUUUGGCCGUUUUAUUCAUUACACGGGCUGGGUAGUUCUUUGCCAGAGUUCGUUCUUCCUUAUGGGUCAUAUUCGAGUUGUAGCUCAUUGGUGCAUUGAUGGCGACAUAUGAGAUUUUAGUUGGUGUUUUAGGUGGCUUAUGGCCCGAGCAGCUUGUACUGGGUGAGACGAGGUUAUUGGACCUGCAAUAUGUGCAAUUGGACUUAUGUAAGGUAUAUUAAAGAGAAAAUAUCACUAUUCAGUUCAGAAUGAGGUAAUGGUUCUUGACAAGCGGAGAGACUCUCUGAUUUAUUGAUUUGGUAGGUGGUUAUGAGCUUCUACAUGUCACUUUCAUCGUUGCAGUAUCACGAGGGUUGGAUUAGGGCUUAUGCGCAUUAUGAGGUAUACUACGGGCAUCAGGUUAGUGAAUUUGUAGCUUCUACGGUUGGAGGAUGUUAUUAUGGGCAUACGAAUUAUGCGGUGCAUUGUGUGGUUUCAGUAUGGGUGCAUGAUCAUAUAUAGUACAACGGUUGAGAUUGAUACGGUGUUCGUAUGUUAGAAUCAAGUCUCAUAGAGAAUUCCGGAUGUUGGAAUUUGGCUCUAAGGCUUGUGGGCUAAGUUGGCAGGAAGGAUCUUCAGUCAGGCUCGAGCUAAUAUGCUCACAUGGAAUGUAGAGGCACAGGUAGGUGCACGAGGUGUUAAACAACGAUUUUGGGCAACUCCAGAACGGUUCUUGGCACGUUCGAGGACGAACGUAUGUUUAAGUGGGGGAGAAUGUAACGACCCGACCAGUCAUUUCAAGCUCUAUGGCGUCGUUCGGUAGUUUGAGGCCUUGAGUAGCUUCACUUCAUGUUAUAUGACUUGUACGCGUAGUCGGAAUUGAAUUUCGGGAAGUUCAGAGUUGAUUCGGAUGGAAAAUUCUCGAUUCGGAGGCUUUAAGUUGGAAGAGUUGAACAAUGUUUGACUUUUUAGUAAAUGACCUCAGAAUCGGGAUUUGAAGGUUCCAAUAGUUUCGUAUGGUGAUUUUCGGACUUGGACGUAUGUUCGAGUUGAGUAUCAGGUGGCUUGGGAGCAUUUCAGUGCUUAUUGUGAAAAGUUGGCAUUUUGAAGGUUUUAGAAUUUCCUAAGUUUUGUUUGAAGGGGGCUUUGGUGUUAGUCCGUUUGGGGUUCCGAGCCGUAGAAUAGGUUCGUAUCAUGAUUUGUGACUUGCACGUAAAGUUUGGCAUCAUUCUAGAAUGUUUAAGUGUAAUUCAGACGCGUUCAUCGAAGUUUGAAUGUUUGAAAGUUGAAAGAAGGAUUUUGAUUGUUGAUUUGUAAUUUUGAUGUUAUUCGUGGCGUUCUGAGCCUUUGAAUAACUUUGGAUAAGGUAUUGGAACUUGUUGGUAUGAUCAGAUGGGGUCCGGGGGCCUCGGAUGGGUUUCAUAAUGGUUUCAGACAAAUUCCCCUUGUUUUAUCACUACUAUUUUCUGGUGUGUUGGGUGUGCAUCGCGAUCGCGGAGGAUGGUCGUGACCAUGAAAGGCUAACUGUACUGGUGGUAUUUUUGUUCAUCGCGAUUGCGUAAAGGCAGUCGCGAUCGCGGAGCUGGAGCAGGUUGUUCUUCGCGUUCGCGUGGGAGAAGUCGCAAAUGCGAUGGGUUGUUCAAGCUGGUUUGUUUGGGGAUAGUUGUUCUACACGAUCGCGGAAGAGGAAUUCUGCUGAGGCUAUGUUUGGCCUUUGUGUUCGGGUUAGUGGGCUCGCGUUAGCGGAGGCCUGGGCAGGUUGUGAUUCUCGAUCACGAGAAGGACUCGCGUUCGUAUAAGAGUAAUUUCAUGGGUGAGGCUGGUUGGCCUUCGGGAUUGCGAGGAGUUUUCCGCGAUCGCGAGGAGUUUUUCGCGAUCGCUAGGAGUUUUCCGCGAUCGCGAAAAAGGGCCGCUGGGCAGAACACUUCUUAAAAAAAUCGGGGAUUUCACUCAUCUUCACCUCAUUUUUUCCAUGGGAGCCGAUUUUGGGGCGAUUUUGGAGCACCAUUUUCAUUAUCAAUUUUCAGGUAAGUGAUUUAUUCACCUCGUGAGUUACAUACAUUGUUAGUUUAUAUGUGGAUUUAAACAUGAAAAUUUAUGGAAAUUGUGGGAUUUUAGGAGAAAACCUAGAAUUUGAUAUUUUUGGAUUUUGACCACGAAAUUGGAGAUGUGAUUGGGAAUAAAUUAUAUAUUUGAGUUCGUGCUGUUAUGGGUAAUGUUUAUCUUCGAAAAUAUUUGGUAUCCGGGCACGUGUGCCCGAGGGUUGACUUUAUUGACUUUUCGAGCGGAGUUGAGGAUUGUUAUAAAUUGUUAAAUUAUAAGCAUUAGAGUAUAUUUUAAUUGAUUUACACGUUGUUUGACUAGUUUCGGAUCGAUGGGCAUUGGUUGAGGUGUUAGAGGGGCAUUGGAGCCAGUUGUGGAACUUCAGAGCGAGGUAAGUCUCCUGUUUAACCUUGUGAGGGGGAAAACUACCUUGUAGGUGUGUAUUUGCUAUGUGCUACAUGUUUUGGGGGCCAUGUACGCACGAGGUGACGAGAGUCCGUACGUAGCUAUUUAGAAUGAACAUUGAACAAACAUCCUUCAACACAACCACAUUAGGAAUAGCCAAUUCAAUAAUGAUCAAGGACUUACUCCAAUUACAUGAACACCGUGGAAUUCGAUUCUAAGAAGAAGGGCGUUUAGGAAUACAUACCUCAAUUCGUCCCUUAAUGAUACUACAAUGAUGCACUACACUAAGCAACUUCAAUCUACAAUAACAACAUCCAAUGAGACUAAAAUUAGUAACAAAUCCCAUGGGUUUAUUGUAUUCAUAAAUUUCAUCGCCAAGAUUACCAUUCACCUUCUCUCUUAUUUUCUCAAAAGUACUAUUCAUGCCAUGAACUAGAGUUUUAUAAUCUAAUCUUUCAACCAUUAAAACUUGUAACAAAUGCUUCAAAUACUUCUAAAUACUUAUAAUAAACGAGUUUGAAGCAUUGGAAUUACCUCUAGUAUAUCAAUCUUGAGAAAUCAAAACUUUGGUGAUUUUUGUGUUCUUGAGGAUUUGAUGAUGAAAUCUUGUAUUUGGAUGUAAUAAUGAUGUUAGAACUCAUGUAUAUUGAGUAAUAAUCAACCAAAAAUAUCAUUAAUAACUUACCUUGGUUUAUUGGACUUGAUUUGAGCUCAAAAUCGUCCCUUCACCUCAUGAACCCUAACCCCCAAAUACUCAAAAUAUCCCCCUUCCCCGACCUUGUAUUUAUAGGCCCAUAUUUCUGGGUUUCGGAUGCGGCUCUGGAUGCUUCGCAUCCCCACUUCACUCCUCUUUGAAGCUCGGAUGCGGACCUGGACUCUAUGGUAGCACUUCACUGCCAGCCUCUCUUUCGGACGUGGCCUCGGAUGCUUCGCAUCCAAAGGCUCCUCCGCCAGCCUUUGGUGAUUUGGUCAUAACUUCUUGUAGGAAUGUCCAAAUGACAAACGGUUUAAAGCGUUGGAAACUAGACUCAAAGACCCUUAAUAUAGGUCAUACAUCACCUAACUCCUUACAUAUAUAUUGUUAUGACCGUCCAAACUUUAGUUUUGUGCGUACUCAUUUGGAACUUUAGUCUAUCAUGAAACUUUCAACUUGACUUGGACUUAGGGCUCUCCCUAGACCCCACAUCACUUAUAAUAUGGCCCGUACACUUAUUAUUGUAUCCAAUUGAUAUCCAUCCCAUUAAUAGUUCUCGUCUGCACACAAAAUAAUAUAAUUAGCGCACAUCAACUUUCUUAAUAGCGCUUAAGUACUUCAAAAUUUUUCGGGGUGUUACAUCAAAGCUCUCUAGUAUGAUGAUCCACACUUGAUGGAACUUAAGGACACAGUCAGCGUGAUGGUGAUAAGAAGGUGGUUAUUGGGGAUGAUGGUGUUAUGCGACUUGUGGAUGACAUUGUGUUCCUAAUGUCAAUGACUUGAGAGAGUUAAUUAUUGAGAUGUCUCACAUUUCGUGUUAUUAUAUUCACCCAGGUGCUAUAAAGAUGUAGCGUGAUUUAAAGUAGCAGUACUGGUAGCAGAGCCUAAAAAGGACAUUGUUGGUCAUGUUUCACGGUGUUUGAAUUUUCAAUAGGUCAAGUAUGAGCAUAAGAAACUAGGUGAGAGAGUAUUACUAUAAUAUUUGUGGUAGGUUUGACAUAAACUUUUAGAAUGUUUGAUGGCAUUUGGUUCAUUGUUGAUAGGUUGACCAAGUCGGCAUAUUUUAUUCUGGUGAAAACCUCAUACACUUCAAUGAAGUUGGCACAUAUAUACAUAUGAGAGAUUAUUCGCUUGCAUGGUGUCUUCCGUCUCUAUCAUUUAAGACUGCGACACUCAGUUCACAUCGCUCUUUUAGAGAGUUGUUCAGUGUGAGUUAGGCACCUAGGUGGAACUCAGCACUACAUUUCACCCGCAGAUGAAUAGGCCAUCCAAGCGGACUAUUUAGAUCCUGAAAGAUAUACUGAGAGCAUGUGUUAUUGGUUUUAGAGGUCAUUGGGAACAAUUCCUAUCAUUUACGGACUUUUCUUGCAACAACAACGACUAGUCCAGUAUUCAAAUGGCUCCGUAUGAGGCCUUAUAGUAGACGGUGCUGCUCUCCAGUUGGUUGGUUUAAGCCUGGUGAGGUUUGGUUGAUGGGUACAAAUUUGGUCCGUGAGGCAUUGAAGAAGGUGAAGUUUAUUCAGGAGAGGAUUCGCGUAGCUCAGUCCAGGCAGAAAAGUUAUGCGGACAAGAAGGUUCGCGAUGUGGAAUUUAUGGAAGAUGAGAAUGUUCUUCUUAUAGUUUCACCUAUUAAGGGCGUAAUAAGGUCUGGAAAGAAAGACAAUUUGAUCCCGAGGUUUAUUGGUCCAUUUGAGGUAUUGGAGAGAGUUGGCGAGGUUCCUUAUAGACUUUCUUUGACUCCUAGUCUUUCUGGAGUUCAUCCUAUAUUUCAAGUUUCUAUGAUCUGGAAGUGCCAUGAAAAUAAUCCAUAUGUUCUGGAAUUUAGCACAAUGUAGUUUGAUGAGAAUUUGGCUUAUGAAGAAGAGCCAGUGGCCAUUUUGGAUAGCUAGGUUUGGAAGCACAGGUCUAAGGAGAUCAUGCCGAUGAAGGUGCUAUGGAGAGGCCAACCUAUCUAGGAGGCUACUUGGGAGACCGAGUCAGAUAUAUAGAGCAGAUAUCUGUAUCCUUUCGGUAGUUCAUGUACAUUUCUGAACACAUUUGAGGAUUUGUUUAAAAGGUGGAGAAUGUAGCAAGCCAACCGGUCGUCUUAAGUAUUAGAACCCUAUUCCCCUAUUUGAUGCUUCCCGUAUAUGUAUUUGAUGUUUAAUGACUUUCGGGGACCGGUGGUUUGGUUUUCAUGGGGUACGAGAAUGAUUUGGAGCACUUAGAUUCAUUUUGGAAGCCUUAAGUUGAAAGAAGUGACCAAGGUUUGGCUUUCAUGUAAACGACCUCGGAUUGGUGAUUGGAUGGUUCCAAUAUGUUUUUAUGGUGAUUCAGGACUUAGGCAUAUUUUUGUACUUGGUUUUGGAUGUUCCUAGAGUAUUUUAAUUCUAUUUGUCGAAAGUUGGCAAUUUGAAGAAUUGGAGAGUUCUUAAGUUUGACAGAUAGUUGACUUUUAUGAUAUCAAACUCGAUUGUGGUUCCGAAAUUUGGAAUAUGUUUGUUUUCUUGAAUGGAACUUGUGUGCAAAGUUUGGUUGUGAUCCAAAGUGUUUAGACAUGAAUCAGAUGCUUGGUUGGAAGUUUAGAAGUUCUUUAGCUUAUGAGAGUUCAAUGAGUGGUUUGGCCUUUGACUCGUAGAUGUGAUAAUAUCGCAUGUGUUUUACAGCUUUGGACAGGUCAUGGUAGUGAUUUACUUGUUGGUAUGAUGGAUGGGAUCUUGGAGGGCUCGGGUGAGUUUCGGACCACCCCGAGCAUGUUUGGAGUUGUAGAUUUUUGCUGGUGUCAGUUUGUUCAUCGCGAUUCCUAAGCUAGAUUCCUGACUCAUCUGAUGACAUUUACCUUUUUUUUUUUGCUUCUUCAUCAUAUCUUAUUAUGUAUAUUCAAAGGAUUUAUAAUCCUUUAUUUAAAGGUAUCCCUAGAAGUACUUGCAGAUCUGAUAUCUUUAGACUUCAUGGACAAUAUCAAACAUACAUACGUUAUUUGUUUGACUACCUUCCUUGUAGAGUUUCUCUAACUUCUGAUAUUGGCCAUGCUGUUAAUGGAAAUGAUUAUUUGACAAUUAUAUGUCAUUGGAUAUAUGAUAAUUAUUGUAUGAAAAAACGUAUUAUUGCUUUUAAAUAUGAUGAAAAUCAGAGUCAUACUGCUAUGUUUAUAAGUACUACUAUUUGCGAAGUUGUUGAAUUUUAUAAUCUUAAGAAAAAAGUAUUGUGUAUGUCUUUUGAUAAUGCUUCUAACAAUAAUGCCGCAAUUUCAAUAUUAAGACUGCAUUUGCAAUCAUCACUUGACGAAAUUUUUCAUGUUAGGUGGGCACGUCAUGUUUAUAAUUUAAUUAUUAAAAGUGGCCUUGAUUUAUUUUCAACUGAGAUUACUCAUGUUAGAAAAGCAGUUGGUGUUAUUCAAGAAAAUAAUAGACAAUCUAGAAUUAGGGAAUUUAAGAAUAAGUGUAUUGAGCAUAACCUUAACCCCAGAUUCAUGCCAGACGAAAUUGUUACUAGAUAGAAUUAUACAUACUUAUUUUUAAAAUGUUGCUACAAAUAUAGAUUGCCAAUAACUGAAGUUGCUAAUGCGCAUUGUACUGAUCCAAACCGUAUGUUAACAACUACUACUUGGGAGGCCAUUAAUGAUGUUGUUAAAUUUUUUCAUAAAUUUUAUACAGCUAUUGUUGAAUUUUCUGGAGCAUAUUACCCUAAUGUUACUAUGGCUUUAGUACAUAUAUCUGAAAUUUCUUUUCUACUCUCUGAAUUUAAGAAGAAAGAAAAAUAUAAGGAUGCUGUUGAAAAAAUGCAAGCAAAAUUCAAAAAAUAUUUCUUUCCAAUUCCUCCGAUUUACUUAAUUGGUACUGUUUUAAAUCCUUCUAUUAAGAUGUCUGAUUGUCACCAAUUAAUCAAUGCUUUAUAUACUUAUAUAGAGAUUGGACCAAUUGAAACCCCAUAUAUAUAUAUUGUUGUAUGAACAAGCUAAAUAAUUAUUUACAACAAUUAUAUAAUUGUUAUGCAAAUAUAGUUGAUGAUGCUGCUCUUAAUAUAGGCAAUGUUAAUCCCACUAUGCAUUGUACCACUUCUACUACUAUGGAUGAUGAUGAGGACCUUGAGGGUUUUAAUAUUUGGUAUAUAUUUCCUACCACUCAAACUAGUAGCAGGAACAUUGAUGAACUUUAAUUCUACUUGCAAAAGCAAAAAGAGCUUCGCACAAAGGAAUUUUCACCAUUGGGAUGGUGGCAUGAGAAUGAAAAGCAAUUUUCUGUUCUUUCCGCUAUGGCUCGGGACGUGCUGAAUGUGUCAAUUUCAACUGUUGCAUCAGAGAGUGCAUUUAGUCAAGCAAGACAACAACUUGGAGACACCCGUCACUCAUUGGGAAGCAAUGCUUUGGAAGUUUUAGUAUGUUUCAGAGAUUGGAUUAGAUCGGAACGAAGAAAUCAGGGACGUGAAGAUGUUGACAGACCAGAAGACGAGGAACUUGGAGAUAUAUUAACACAUGGUAACCCAUUUGAAUUUAACACUCCAGAAGAUGGUCAAGAAAUUCAUAUUGAUUAUGAAGAACUUACUAAGGCAAUGCAAAACCUUUGAAUUUACUCUUUUUUUGUUAAUUUACUUGUUGUUAAAUGUAAACUUCAAUUUGUAAGUUUGAAAUAAAAAAAGCACUUUCAAANNNNNNNNNNNNNNNNNNNNNNNNNNNNNNNNNNNNNNNNNNNNNNNNNNNNNNNNNNNNNNNNNNNNNNNNNNNNNNNNNNNNNNNNNNNNNNNNNNNNNNNNNNNNNNNNNNNNNNNNNNNNNNNNNNNNNNNNNNNNNNNNNNNNNNNNNNNNNNNNNNNNNNNNNNNNNNNNNNNNNNNNNNNNNNNNNNNNNNNNNNNNNNNNNNNNNNNNNNNNNNNNNNNNNNNNNNNNNNNNNNNNNNNNNNNNNNNNNNNNNNNNNNNNNNNNNNNNNNNNNNNNNNNNNNNNNNNNNNNNNNNNNNNNNNNNNNNNNNNNNNNNNNNNNNNNNNNNNNNNNNNNNNNNNNNNNNNNNNNNNNNNNNNNNNNNNNNNNNNNNNNNNNNNNNNNNNNNNNNNNNNNNNNNNNNNNNNNNNNNNNNNNNNNNNNNNNNNNNNNNNNNNNNNNNNNNNNNNNNNNNNNNNNNNNNNNNNNNNNNNNNNNNNNNNNNNNNNNNAUCCUUUUAUUCAAACACUCUUUUUAUAAGAAGAUUGUUUUUUUGUUUAAUAUUUUUACUUUAUAUUAAUAUAAAUUACGAUAGUUAUACAAAAUACAAAAAAAAUAAA